UCUGCCUUGCUGAGCUUGGCAUCACAAUCCUGGCAAUGUGGUGCUCUCAUCCUCCCCUUACUAGCCAUUUCCAUUAAAAUCGGUCGUGUAAAGUCCCCAGAAUUUCUAAAUAUCACUUUUAACAUUCAGGGAAGAUGACCAAAGGGAAGGGACUGCAUGGAUUGCAACGGACAUGCCCAUAGCUGCACCGCCAACUCCCGCGGAUGCACCUUGCAACUUACCAGAGUAGCAGAGUUUGUUCUUGGAGUUCGUCAAAUUCCGAGAGAAGAUUGAAUCAGCGCUGGAGGAGUCCCGGACCAGACUGGAACAGAUCUCGGCCAUGCUACAAAAGCAUGAGCAGGAGAUCCAACAACUUGGGCAGCGCGUGGAGGAGGUGGAGCAGCGAACUGCGGCGUCAGAGACGGUGACAGAAUCCUCGACAGAAACAGAGGAGGCAAAUAGAUGGAGCAGUUGAAGGGGAGACUGGACAAGUGUGUGAGGGAGGAUCUGUUGACAGGGUUAGCUGAAGUCCUACAGAACAAAGCUCAUGCGGUGCAUUAACACCAUCACAGGCCCAUAGAGCUUAAAGUGUUACUUUUCCCAUGAGAAAGCUCCAUGCCGGGUGACAUCAUGGAGAGUUGCUGACCACCUCCAGCCUCGGAUACUGCUUUAUGUGCAUAUGACCUGUUUUCAGACCAUCUCUUUUAUCCAAUUAGGUUCUCCUGCUAUGAACAAUACAAAAGAUAUUAAAAUUGAAACUGACUCGUA